GGCUUCAUGGUCGAGUGGUAAGGGCACUUGCCUCUCACUCAGGAGUCUCGGGUUCAAUCCCCGGUCGAGGAGGUAG
rnacentral:tRNA from 1 species